UUUUUGUUGCCACAUUAACCGGUUUUUCUUUUUCAGGUAUUCUCCUAAGUCCAACGGAUGUAUAAGGUUAACAUCAAUGUGAUUACUUAACGCAGCCUGGCAUGCAGCAUGGUCUGCUUGAUCGUUUCCAGAACUUGAGAAUGGACUGGCAUCUUUUCGUCAUCGCAUCAACAGGAUAUAUUUCAGAGAUCCCAUUCACUGCUUCCAUACAAUCUGUGACGAUGAUAAAAUUUUUUCUAUCGCCGAUGGAGCAAUAUAACAACGCCUGCCACAGCGCAUAUUGUUCGGCAAAGCGAAUUGAGGACCACGAACAUAAACUCCAUUCAUAGGACUCUUCUCCAAUCACCAUCGCACUUCCAACACCUCUCUCCGUUCUAGACCCGUCAGUAUAGAUGAUUUCAUACGAAGGAUAUUCAUUACAUAUAUCUUGGAAUUUCUGUAUGAGUCAUCCACGGUGCAAACUCUUGUGUAGUGUUUUCCAGAAUUUCCGGAAGAGCGAUACCUUGCAAUUGAAUAUCCUCAUAAAACCUCACACUUGCUGGUCUAGUAAUAGUAGGUCGCAUUCUAUAAGC